AUAACUGCAAUAGCGCAAGACUUAACUGUAUGAGCUAUACUGAUGGAUGUGGCUAGUGUUCGAAGAAUUUUAGUCCCGGUGAAUAUUCUUCUAAAUUUCAGUCGGCUUAGCGCGGUCGCUAUAGUCGUGUGUUACAUCUGUUGUUAAGGGCAAGUACGCGCAGGUGUUCGGUAGUUUCUUGGAACCUACGGGUGUCGUACUGCAUUUGAGUGCCAGACAUUUCAAGAGCGAAGAAAUACGAUUUCGUAAGUGCUACACAAAGUGAUACGUGGUUGAACAGUGUUGCAUCCCGGCGAGAAAAGCUCAUUGGCCCUUACAGACGCAACAAAUGGCCCUGGUCCCCGUGGUCGUUUGAACUCCUCACUGAUCCUGCUGCGCAUUACUUAAAGUACGUAUAACAACGUUGUAUUGAAAUUAAAGGGAAAGCGAGCUAGCGCUGGGGAUAUACACGGGCGGAUCUGGCGGCCGCAGCGUGAAGCAGGCUUCAAGGAUGCAUAUUGAUUGAGAGGCGUUAGAAGAACGGAUAAAUGAGACAAAACGAUCGGUCAACGUCCUCGACUGGGGCUGGCCAUCGCACACUGCACCUUUGGCACUAAGGGAGUCCUUCCUUGCCAUGUGAAGGCCGUGGGGUGAUGGGUCACACGCUCGGACACCCGGGCGCAUCAAAAGGUCCGC
rnacentral:lncRNA from 1 species